GUGUUGUUAUAGUAAAUAAAUGUUUCACUAUAAAUAACAAUUUUCUUCACUUUCAAUGGAUAAUAACUAAUUCACUUCAUGUAACGAUAUCGGCUAAAUGAUACUUUGUGUACCUCAUAAAUGCUUACAGUGAGGUUUAAAGUUCGAGAAAAUUCUCUCUUCUACGACACUACUACCACACUUCUAAGUCCCUCAAGUGUAUGAGAUAUGCGCAGUCAGUUCUGCUCAGGCCCACUCAGCCUCACCAUCUCAACAUGCCGCUCAAGCCGACAUCGUAUGGUCGUCGCGUAGUACUGACUGAUUUUGAGUGAAGCCGUUGUGACUAAAAAUACUUUUUGCGUCAGCCAUUACAAUAAUCGUAAAAUUUUUAUAAAAUACAAUAUUGUGGUUCAAUUUUCUUAUUAGUGACAUAGUAUUUUACUACAUAAAGUGUAUCCAACUAUCGUUAUUAUUUCCUGCAGCAAAAAAAAUUAUAGAAAUUUUGUUCAUUUGUUUUUUCCAGUAGAAAGGUACCAAAUUAUUCUUAUAAUGAGCGGGAAUCGAGGGAUGUCGCGGACAGCAAUAUUCAAGAGGAAUAAAAAAAAACUUCAAAAUUAUAAGAAAUUGUACCCUCAGGAUAAAUUACUGCGGUUCCUUCCUGGUGGAUUUUUGGAAGAAAGAUCUUCUCUACCAUCAACAUCAUCUUCGUCACCAUCAGUCCAAUCAUUGUCAACGCUGGAAAGCACAGCAGCUCCAAUCAAUAGUGGCAG